rnacentral:rRNA from 1 species
AUAAUCUGUCCUCAACUUGGGAAUAACGGUUGGAAACGACCGCUAAUACCGAAUGUGGUAUGUUUAGGCAUCUAAAACAUAUUAAAGAAGGGGAUCUUCGGACCUUUCGGUUGAGGGAGAGUCUAUGGGAUAUCAGCUUGUUGGUGGGGUAAUGGCCUACCAAGGCUUUGACGUCUAGGCGGAUUGAGAGAUUGACCGCCAACACUGGGACUG